rnacentral:rRNA from 1 species
AUUGAACGCUGGCGGCAGGCUUAACACAUGCAAGUCGAGCGGGGGAAGGUAGCUUGCUACUGGACCUAGCGGCGGACGGGUGAGUAAUGCUUAGGAAUCUGCCUAUUAGUGGGGGACAACAUCUCGAAAGGGAUGCUAAUACCGCAUACGUCAUACGGGAGAAAGCAGGGGAUCUUCGGACAUUGCGCUAAUAGAUGAGCCUAAGUCGGAUUAGCUAGUUGGUGGGGUAAAGGCCUACCAAGGCGACGAUCUGUAGCGGGUCUGAGAGGAUGAUCCGCCACACUGGGACUGAGACACGGCCCAGACUCCUACGGGAGGCAGCAGUGGGGAAUAUUGGACAAUGGGGGGAACCCUGAUCCAGCCAUGCCGCGUGUGUGAAGAAGGCCUUAUGGUUGUAAAGCACUUUAAGCGAGGAGGAGGCUACUUUAGUUAAUACCUAGAGAUAGUGGACGUUACUCGCAGAAUAAGCACCGGCUAACUCUGUGCCAGCCGCCGCCGUAA